rnacentral:rRNA from 1 species
GAUGAACGCUGGCGGCGUGCCUAAUACAUGCAAGUCGAGCGAACAGACGAGGAGCUUGCUCCUCUGACGUUAGCGGCGGACGGGUGAGUAACACGUGGAUAACCUACCUAUAAGACUGGGAUAACUUCGGGGAACCGGAGCUAAUACCGGAUAAUAUAUUGAACCGCAUGGUUCAAUAGUGAAAGACGGUUUUGCUGUCACUUAUAGAUGGAUCCGCGCCGCAUUAGCUAGUUGGUAAGGUAACGGCUUACCAAGGCAACGAUGCGUAGCCGACCUGAGAGGGUGAUCGGCCACACUGGAACUGAGACACGGUCCAGACUCCUACGGGAGGCAGCAGUAGGGAAUCUUCCGCAAUGGGCGAAAGCCUGACGGAGCAACGCCGCGUGAGUGAUGAAGGUCUUCGGAUCGUAAAACUCUGUUAUUAGGGAAGAACAAAUGUGUAAGUAACUAUGCACGUCUUGACGGUACCUAAGCAGAAAGCCACGGCUAACUACGU